rnacentral:sRNA from 2 species
UGUAUCUGAAGCCUGACGAGGAUAAGAACCUCCGGGGGCAAGAGGUUCGACUCGAGCGAAGCGAGAGAACGUUGCGUCAGCAACGGCCCGCAGGGCGAGCCACGCAGUGGCGAGUCAUCCUCUAUCACCAGCA